rnacentral:rRNA from 1 species
CUGGCGGCGUGCCUAACACAUGCAAGUCGGACGAUUCAUCUUUGUAGCAAUAUGGAAGAUGGGGAGUGGCGCACGGGUGAGUAAUACAUAGAUGAUCUGCCUUUCAGACUGGGACAACUCAGGGAAACUUGAGCUAAUACCAGAUAAGACCACAUGAAGGGAUUCACGUGAUCAAACGGGGGAGCAAUUUCCUGCUGGAAGAUGAGUCUAUGUCCUAUCAGUUAGUUGGUGGGGUAACGGCCUACCCAAGACGAAGACGGGUAGCCGGCCUGAGAGGGUGAACGGCCACACUGGGACUGAGACACGGCCCAGACUCCUACGGGAGGCAGCAGUGAGGAAUUUUCCGCAAUGGGCGCAAGCCUGACGGAGCGACGCCGCGUGAGGGAUGAAGGCCUUAGGGUUGUAAAGUUCUGAUCUGUGGGAAGAAGAAAGUGACGGUACCACAGGAGAAAGCCCCGGCUAAAUACGUGCCAGCCGCCGC